rnacentral:rRNA from 1 species
AGCGAACGCUAGCGGCAGGCUUAACACAUGCAAGUCGAGCGCCAGGUUUCGGCCUGGAGCGGCGAACGGGUGAGUAACACGUAGGUCACGUACCCUAUGGUGGGGAAUACCCCGGGGAAACUCGGAUCAAUGCCCCAUACGUCCGAAAGGAUGAAAGCGCUUCGGCGCGCCAGAGGAUCGGCCUGCGGCCCAUUAUUUAAUCCUAGUUGGUGAGGUAACGGCUCACCAAGGGUACGAUGGGUAGCUGGUCCGAGAGGACGAUCAGCCACACUGGAACUGAGACACGGUCCAGACUCCUACGGGAGGCAGCAGUGGGGAAUAUUGGACAAUGGGCGAAAGCCUGAUCCAGCCAUGCCGCGUGAGUGAUGAAGGCCUUCGGGUUGUAAGCUCUGUCGUGGGGGAAGAAGUUCUGACGGUACCCCACAAGAAAGCACCGGCUAACUCCGUGCCAGCAGCCGCCGUAACAC